UCGGGUUUUUCAGAGCAGCGCUUCCCCGCCAUAACAAUGCACUGGGAUGGGUGCAAUGAGCCAGCUCCUCCUGGCUAGCUGGUCAUGACAGGGGGAUUUGGUGGUGGGAAGCAGCCAGUUCCUGGCAGCUGCUGAAACCAUUUUGAGGAUCCCCCCCUUUUCUCCCUUAUCUGCACUGGCUGCCAAUUUGCACAUUCCCUUGGUAGAAGCAAAGAUGUAUCUGGACGAGCUGACGAGCUCCAAGACUAAGAACCCUGAAAAUAAAUGGUGAUGUUCCUUUGAAAUUUCAUUUUUAUAAAAUGUUGCCUGCCACAAUUAAGGAAUAUUUCUUCCCCAACAUUGUAAAAAAACAGCAAAAAGAUGAUCUCAGUUCUUCCAUCCCAUCGUCCCCAUGCAUUGGACCGAAAAAUCCACAAACGAACCCUGGUGCCAGCCAGUGUCUACCUUCACCACUGUAGGCUUUGAGGUUCUGAGAGCCUCCUGCGCACGAGGCCGUCCAGCUCGGCUGACAGCAGCCAUGGCCAGGUAGGACGCCGUCUUCCCUUUGACUGCGGGUUUAGUUAUAAGCCACCAGACAUCCCAAACCACAGUCAUGCUCGCACUCAGCUCCACCCCAAAGGCUGUUGUAGCCCCAAACCACUUUUUCCACAUGGCUGACAAACCAGGUUCCUAAGUCACUUCCAAAACUCUUGUCUUCUAGAUGAUGCCACACACAGAGUUGCCCAGAAAGUUCCUAAGGUUUAGCGCCGGAUUAAAAACAUAAUCAAGUAAAAUCCCCAUGUAUGCCUUUGCUUUUAGAAACAAGUACAGUAACUAAUAGGAUGUCAAGACAGCGUCGUUUAAAGAAAAAAAAAAAUCCCCAAACUUUUUGAGCCCAGUCUGGCGUUCAAAGCUCUCAUGGCUCUGCCCCAUGCAACUUGGAAUGUGGGUCCUGAGUCGAAGUAUCUAAUCAUUUAAUAA